CUACGUGCCAGCAGCCGCGGUAAUACGUAGGGUGCGAGCGUUAAUCGGAAUUACUGGGCGUAAAGCGGGCGCAGACGGUUACUUAAGCAGGAUGUGAAAUCCCCGGGCUCAACCUGGGAACUGCGUUCUGAACUGGGUGACUAGAGUGUGUCAGAGGGAGGUAGAAUUCCACGUGUAGCAGUGAAAUGCGUAGAGAUGUGGAGGAAUACCGAUGGCGAAGGCAGCCUCCUGGGAUAACACUGACGUUCAUGCCCGAAAGCGUGGGUAGCAAACAGGAUUAGAUACCCUGGUAGUCCACGCCCUAAACGAUGUCGAUUAGCUGUUGGGCAGCAUGACUGCUUAGUAGCGAAGCUAACGCGUGAAAUCGACCGCCUGGGGAGUACGGUCGCAAGGUUAAAACUCAAAUGAAUUGACGGGGGCCCGCACAAGCGGUGGAGCAUGUGGUUUAAUUCGACGCAACGCGAGGAACCUUACCAGCGUUUGACAUC
rnacentral:rRNA from 1 species